rnacentral:lncRNA from 1 species
UCCCAUUUACAUGCUUGUUCCCAUGAUGUACUUGAUUGUGCUCAAUUUAUAUGCUCAAAUGCCAUGACACACUUCUUUGUCAAACCAUAUGCUAUGCUUGAUGACAACACUUGUUGGGUGAAUCACCUCUUGAAUGCUUGGUUUUGCUCUUACGACAACCACAUUUGUUUUUCCAAGUGCUUGUUAUCUUUGCUCCUUUUGAAGGAAUUACAAGACGGUGCGACAUUGGAGAGUGCCCAUUUGGAACUACAAGAUGACGAAUGCUUGGUGAUCGUCCACUUCUAUACGACGCCAUCAUCUCUUUCCAUUGGUGAUUUGGAUUUUGAUCCAAGGUCGGAUCUUUCCCAAGGGGGAGGGGAUGAUGCGGAGCAUCCUAUGGACAUCAGCAUGUCAAGAGUCCAUUUGACAAGUGACACGUGCCACAUCUACUUCAUGCAUACAAAGGUGAAUCAUCUCCUUUACACGUGUCCACUUGUACCCUUCGAGGAUGGUAUACUACUUGACCCCUCUCUCGUGUGCAUACUUAGGUGUGAGCGGAGCUACACAUUCAUCAUGGAGGAGUCCAAGCACAAGAGAACAUCUACACCAUCCAAUACGGAAGCCUCGAAGUGGAGAAGGAAGCGCCAAGAAAAAGGCAGCAGCUCCCAGGCGACCCCGUGCGCACGGGCUCCUCCGACCCCGUGCCCACGGGCCUCCCACGCUGAUGGUCCUGAAGACCCCAUGCGCACGGGCGUGUACCGUGCCCACGGGACCCCCGUGUCCACGGGCCUCACGGACCCCGUGCGCACGGGCCCUUGCGUCCGGUCCCUGGAUACCCCGUGCGCACGGGCUCCACUUACCCCGUGCACACGAGCCCCCUGUGUGAUGCUGCGAGCUUUGCCCUUGUUUCACCAUUUCGCCCCCACCUAUUCCCCUCUUUGCCUAGGACUAUAUAUACUCCUUCAUCUCCUCCAUUUAGACUUAGCUAAGAUUAGAUCUAAACACUAGAGCUUAGCUCAUGUACCUCCCCUUGUGGGAUUCCACUCCAUUGGAGUUCAAGGCCUCCAUUGGAGAAGAUCCCUAGUGGAUGAAGACCCCCUUGAGGGAAGGAUCUAUCUAGAUCAUCAAGCCCUCAUCUCCUUCAUAGGAUUUGGGAUGAACUCUACCAUGUAUCUUAUUUCCCUUUGUUGUUCAUGUACCUUGUGGAUCUUAUGUGUUUAAUUGUCUAGUGGAUGUGUGAUUUGACUUGUUCUUGGGUGUUCCUAUUGUUUUCCUUCUCUUGUUCAUAUUGUUCUUGGGGAUUCCCCCUCCAAUUCGUGAAAGAUCUCCCCAUAGGGUUCCACCCUACAUCACUAUCUCCAUUUCCUUGUAGUAUUCUUCAACACUCUUUGUUCCUUGCUUGAGGAGUUGUAGCUUCUUGAAGAGAUCACGGUUGUAGUAGGUGGGCACAAAUCGUGCUCGCAUGACAUCCUUCAUUUGAGCCCAAGUGGUGAUUGGAGGGUCACCUCUUGCUUCUCGGCGCUCAAGGACUUGUUCCCACCAUAUGAGCGCAUAGUCUUGGAACUCACGUGAUGCCAUUGCGAUCUUCUUCUCUUCCUCAUAGUUGUGCAAACGAAAGAUUUUGUCGACCUUUAAUGCCCAUGAGAGGUAUUCUUCCGGAUCAUUGCUUCCAUUGAACUUAGGCAUUGUGAAUUUGAGUUUUCCAUAGCGUUGCUCUUCAUCUUGAUAGCGGUUGCGAUAUCGCUCUUGCCUUGGAAAGUCCUCGAAUGCUCGCUCCUCAUGAUGUCGCUCUUGGCAUGGAGGAGGGUCUUGAAGCACUUGUUCCACUUGGUGUCGCUCUUGGCUUGGAGGAAGUCCAUGAUCAACUUGCUCUUGUUGAACUUAAGGUUGAGGUGGAGCUUGACGAUGCACACGUGGUUGGUAGUUCCUCUCUUGGAUUUCUUCUCGAAGAGCUUCCUCUUUAUUGCGCUGUUUGCGAUUGCGGUUGGCGAUGGCUUGACUUGAUUCUUGAAGGGCACGUUCCGCCUCAAGAGUUUGUGCUUCUCGUUGUUGUUGUUGUUGAAGACGUUGGGCCUUGGCGUCUUGUUCCUAUUGGUGUAGACGCGCUCGUUCUUCCUCUUGGCGCUGUAGUCGCUGUCGUUCUUGAGCUUGAGCAAAAGCGACUUGGUUUGAUUGAGGACGAGGAACUUGCUCAUCGACUUGCUCUUGUGAAUGCUUGACGUGUAGCGGGUUGUGAGAUGCAUGACGGUCUUGACACGCGGCUCGUCGAAGAAUGGUCGAUGAUGGUGUACUUGAGCCGGAGAAGGUGUCGUUGGAAAGUCGACUUGAGUGGCUCCGUCUUGAAUAGGAAGAAGUUGAAGGAGGCCGGUUGACCAACAAAGCGUGGAUCUUGUCCAUUCUUGCAUCGUUCUCUUGCUUGUGCGCGUCGAGCUUGUUGUCGAAUUAGUCUCGUGUACGUUGCUCGGAGAGUCGCAAGUCGGUGGCGAGGUUGUCGAUGCGGACGUUCAUUGCUUGUUGCUCUUGAUGGAGUGCUCGUUGUGCACCAAAGAGGUGGCUCUUGGUGACGAAUGAUGACAUGUCGUCGUCUUGCUCGAUGAAGAGUGGGUUGGUAGAGGAACUUGGCCUAUCCAUCAUAAGAAAGUGGUGGUGAGUAGGAAAAUGAGAGAACAAAACCAAACUUACCUUUUCCGAAGAUUGUGGAUGUAACAAGUACGAUCCCACGUGAUGUUACAAUAGGGGAAUUGGUACCGGGAAUUGUUUCUCACACCUACAAGUAAAUGGUCUAUGGAGGAGCUUGGUUAGGAAAGGCACAAAUAAUUCAAGCAAAUGUUAGUCAAGAUGUUGAUAAACUUGAGAAGAUUCACAAAUGGCAAAUAAGACAAAUAGAUCAACCUCCCAAGAUAACACGAGGGACACACACUCGGAAGAUAAAUGGGAUCCGCACAACCAAGGUGUGAGCUCGAAGAUGUCUAAUCACGGGAAAAGCUCUUGUCGUACGGAUACUAGAGAGACGCUAGCUCGAUUGCACUAAUGGGCUAGAUACGCUAGUGCACCAACCUAAUAGAGAAUCCACUCGUCUCACUAUUCCAAGUAUGCUUAUGUAUGUGGUGACCAAGAUGAUGCACGUAUGCUAAGGCUCGAUGCUAUUGCUUAUAAGCUCUUUGCUUCUCUUCUCUUUUGCUUAAAAGCUUUUUUGCAACUAUGCCACGAUGCUUGAUAUACGAGCCACACAAUGAGGUAACAAGUAGUAAAUGCAUGGGAUGGACGGAACACUAAAUGGUGCACUAAUGAUGAGGACAUGACUACCUUGGAUAUGACCAAAAAUAUUGCAUAUAUGCAUAUUUGUCAGGUGAUUUCUAGUGCAAACUAUUCAAUAAUCUAUUUAUGUUAUCCAGAACAAAAAUACUUCACACACUUUUGUGUUUUGUCUAAUUGCAGGUGUAUGGGACAUUUGUACAAUCCACAUAUGAAGAUAAGGAAGAAAGAGAUGUUUAUUUGCUGUCCAAAAAGUUCUCUCACGUCACUUUUGACCCAAGAGAAGAUAGAGUUCAAGUCUCUCACGUUCUGGAUUCAGAUUCGGACUGCACAGACAUACCUGACUCAAAACGCACACAAGUUUUUCAUGCGGACUCCGAAUUGGGUGAUUCUUUUUUUGUUGGAAACUAGAUUUCGUGCAUUUUCCAACCCAAUUGGAAUCACCUUCAAAUUCGUCUGGAGCGUUGAGUUGUGGACGAAACAAUCUGAUGCUGCAGCAGAAUCCGAGUCAAACUACAAGUCCAAAGGUGUUACAUCACCUCCACUUGGGCCCAUUGGCCUUGUACGACCUAGAUUUAGUUUUAGGCUGCCUUGGGACGUCCUCCCACCUCCUUGGCCGCCACCCCUUGCUCCUAUAUAAGUAGAUCCAUCUAGUAGCUUUUCCUUGGGAUUUGUUUAGUUAAAAGUUAGCCAUUGCAACUUCGUGUACUUCGUUUGUGUCCAACGACCAGACCAAGACCGCUUACGGAUCCCCACCAUUAUCAAUACCUCAUAUAUAUUUGCAAUAUUCAGAUUGCUUUAUCAUAUUCUUGCUCGUUCUUCGAUUGCUUGCAGGAAUAGACCUUCGUGGUCAGGCUGAUCGUGCUUCCGGCAUCAUCAGUAACCUCAGGAGAUUGGUUUAGCGAUUGCUAAGGCGCAACGUCGUGCACGUUUGUAGUCGGAUCGUCAAAGUCGUCUCCACCAAAUCGAUAGUUAUCAUCUCAUCGAAAGAUUGGGACACCCUCACCUCUAUCAAGUGGUAUCAGUUUUCAGGUUGCUCGGUGAGAAUUUCCAGUUUUCCUAGAUUAGAUUUAUUUUCUUACCUAUUGUCCAAGAAAAAGCCACAAAAAAAGAGUUAGAUCUAUUCAUCCUUGGUCCAAGCCAGUCUGAGCCUUUGCAAUUUUCUUUUCAUUGCUUGCAUAGUUGAAUUAUCGGUUGCAUCGUCGUGUCGAGUUGCUGGUCUUAGUGUCUAGUUCGUUUAGAGUUUCGAGUUCUGUUCACAUUAGUCACGCCACCGCUGCAUCAUUAUCUCUUCCGCUGUCCACCACCCAUCCAUCAAUUUCCACCACGUGCUACCCACCAUUCAUUGUCAUAAUAAUAGUUGAGAUCGUUCACAUCUUCACUUGAUCCAAUCUGCAUCUUAUCUAGUUUGUUUUGGAAAGAGGGAGAAAAAAAAGAGAGAAAAAAAACGAGAGAUAAAAAAGAGAAAAAAAAGUCAGAGAAAAAAAGGAGAGAAAGAAAAAAAAAGUGCGAGAAAAAAAGAGAAAAAAAACAAAAUUCAGAUCUUUUUAGACUCAAUCUCGUAGUUGAAUUCGGAUUGGAAUCUGUUUUGUGCACUGUUCAGUAAAACAGCUUGGCUGUUGUUUCACAUCAUUAUCUUUACUGCCGUUGUGAUCUUCACUUAUAUCUUGCUGUCCAGAGCUACUUAGUAUCCUUCAUUGAUGCUGGUUGUGCUACGACGUGACCUCAUUACUGUUCUAGGCUCGCGUCUCUAGUUCGGUCUAGCCUAGGACCAGCACAGUACCGUCGUUGAGCGUUUAUUCAACAUUGCAUCUUUGAAUUGAUUAUUGCUAAUCUUUUGCUACCAUAUAUAGCCAACCCAGCUCCACAUAUUUCUACACCGUGUAUACGUACGCUCCCCUGGCAAUCGCUUUACUCAAUAUUCGGAGUUACUUGACACCGCUGGUUGCCGAUCACCGCCUGCUGCAUGGUAAGAACUUGUAAGACAUUGAUAUUUGCUUUACUGUGAGCAUUUUACCACCACAUCCUAGUAGUUAUACGAACAUUAUUUUUGGGUUUUGUUUCUUGUUCUACUAAUCAUGACAGGAUCCAGAGUCAAUUCAUGGGCUUUGUCGAUCGCGGGAGACGUGCCACCACCUUUGCAAAUACCACAACCGUCACGAGAGGUGCACAAACAUCCAAAUGCACAUGAUCAGGUUAAUGUAUCUAUACCACCAUUUAAUGGCCGUUUUAAACCUGUUUUAUAUAUUGAAUGGGAGUUCGACAUAAAAAAUAUAUUUGCUUCCCAUAAUUUCAAUGAACAUAAAAAGGUUAAGGUUGCGGUUGGUUCUUUCACUGGUUAUGCUUUGGUUUGGUGGAGUGAAUAUUGUCGGUUACACCCUGAUUAUAUACCUACUACUUGGGAUGAUUUGAAACUUGCCAUGCGACAUACUUUCGUCCCUGCUUAUUAUACUCAUGACAUGAUUAAGAAGUUGCAACACUUAAAACAAGGUAGUGAAACUGUAACAAAAUAUUAUGAUGAUUUACAAACUACCUUGUUGCAUUCCUCUUUAGAAGAAAGUGAAGAUGAUUUUAUGGAUAGAUUUUGGGGAGGAUUAAACCGUGAUAUUCAAGAGAUACUAAUUCAUGAAGAGUGUUAUCCUAUGGACCAUUUGUUUCAUCUUGCUUGCAAAGCUGAACAGGAAAUAAAACGACGUGUUGGCCACGAGGAGAACAAGCGCACGGUGCACAUUCCAAGAGUUGACAUGAUUGUUCCUUCAACUACUAGGCAUACUAUGACAACCACAUCCGUUGUUGUCAGGACUACAUCACCUCCGCCAUGUGACACAUCGCCCCCGAGAGUGGCUACAUCAUCUGAAUUGAUCAUAAGAGGUAAUGACAAAGGUACUGAUCUUCCAUCUCUACAUGAGAAUGAUGAAUGCCUUGUCAAUUUGAAUGCACCAUCUGAUGAGCUACCCACUACUUUGAUCACACCACCUACUUUAGAGGACUACGUUGAUAAUUUGACUUUGCCAUGUGAUCAAACAACUGAAAUACCAACAAUUUUGAGUGCACCCAUUGAAUUAAAUAUUGAUGCAAAAGAACCAAUGUUUAAUCAUUUUGAUAUGACCUCUAAUCUUGUUGAUGAUUCUAUGUUGAAUGACUUAUUGCAUGUUUGCUUAUUUAAGCAUGUUGUAGCAUGUAAAUUUGAUGCAAGUAAGUUUUAUUCACCAAUGUUGGGAUGGUUUAAUGAUGAACAUUGUCAAUCUUUUGAAAUGAAUAAGAGCUUCACUUAUAUGUGCAAACUGAGUUGCAAUAUUUUCUUGCAUUCUACUUCUUGUGCUAAUUUUUUGGCUUUAGAUUUUAUGAACUAUGCAAGUUACUCAUCUAUUCAUGUGUCAUAUAUGCAAAAAUCAAGGGAAGUAAAAAUGGAUGACAUGUACAUAUACAACAUGUACACCUUGUCUCUUUUGUUAGCCACAUUUCAGAUUAAGCAACGCCGAGGACGGCUUUAUUUUCAAGAAGGGGAGGAUGAUGAGGACAUGACUACCUUGGAUAUGACCAAAAAUAUUGCAUAUAUGCAUAUUUGUCAGGUGAUUUCUAUUGCAAACUAUUCAAUAAUCUAUUUAUGUUAUCCAGAACAAAAAUACUUCACACACUUUUGUGUUUUGUCUAAUUGCAGGUGUAUGGGACAUUUGUACAAUCCACAUAUGAAGAUAAGGAAGAAAGAGAUGUUUAUUUGCUGUCCAAAAAGUUCUCUCACGUCACUUUUGGCCCAAGAGAAGAUAGAGUCCAAGUCUCUCACGUUCUGGAUUCAGAUUCGGACUACACAGACAUACCUGACUCAAAACGCACACAAGUUUUUCAUGCGGACUCCGAAUUGGGUGAUUCUUUUUUUGUUGGAAACUAGAUUUCGUGCACUUUCCAACCCAAUUGGAAUCACCUUCAAAUUAGUCUGGAGCGUUGAGUUGUGGACGAAACAAUCUGAUGCUGCAGCAGAAUCCGAGUCAAACUACAAGUCCAAAGGUGUUACAUCACCUCCACUUGGGCCCAUUGGCCUUGUACGACCUAGAUUUAGUUUUAGGAUGCCUUGGGACGUCCUCCCACCUCCUUGGCCGCCACCCCUUGCUCCUAUAUAAGUAGAUCCAUCUAGUAGCUUUUCCUUGGGAUUUGUUUAGUUAAAAGUUAGCCAUUGCAACUUCGUGUACUUCGUUUGUGUCCAACGACCAGACCAAGACCGCUUACAGAUCCCCACCAUUAUCAAUACCUCAUAUAUAUUUGCAAUAUUCAGAUUGCUUUAUCAUAUUCUUGCUCGUUCUUCGAUUGCUUGCAGGAAUAGACCUUCGUGGUCAGGCUGAUCGUGCUUCCGGCAUCAUCAGUAACCUCAGGAGAUUGGUUUAGCGAUUGCUAAGGCGCAACGUCGUGCACGUUUGUAGUCGGAUCGUCAAAGUCGUCUCCACCAAAUCGAUAGUUAUCAUCUCAUCGAAAGAUCGGGACACCCUCGCCUCUAUCAACUAAGGCGUGGCCCGGCAAUACUCAACAAGCUAGUCUCGAUGGGUAAGCUACGCAAAAUGGCUCGAAGCUAUCAAGUUAAUGGCAAGGGAGUACAAGGUGUCGUCGAGGUUACCGUCCUUGCUUACGGUCGAAGAUGAUCUUGUCGAAGCCGAAGUGUUGUCCAAGUUGAUGAUUGGUGGCGAUGAUGAUACCGACUUGCGCCUAAGUAGCCGAAACACCUUUGGACACAAGAGAAAUCGCAACCGAACACUCAACAAACACGUGUAAUGGUGCGGAAGAACAUGAGAGGUGGUGGUGAAACAAAAUGAGAAAAACAGAAAAAUGGCCGAAACUUCCUGGAUAGCCCGUGCGCACGGGGUAAGUGAGGCCCGUGUGCACGGGGUCCCGUGUGCAUGGGGUGCCGAUGGCCCGUGUGCACGGGGUCUCCCGAGAGCGGAUGAAGUGAUCUGAUUUCGUGGUGAAUUCCAAGUUUUUGGCCAAAAUCAAAUGGUGGAAGGUUGGGGAUGAUGGUGGAGGGUAGAUCCACUUGCCAAACACCAAAUUCGUGCAUCAAAUCAACCAAAUCUCACAAGAUCAACAAAUUGCAAGAAAAAAUUUUUGGGGCUAUUUUUGGUGGGGAUUUUCAGAUUAGGACGAAAAACAACAAAAUCAAGCUAGAAAGUGGAAGGUAGGGACUCCAAGAUGUGAAUCAACGUGGCUCAUGAUACCAAGAUGAUGUAGGGUAGAACCCUAGGAAGGACCUUUUCACACUUGGAGGGGGAAAAAGGAGAGAAACCACAAGAACAACAAGAACACAAAGAUGAAGACAAGAGGUAAUCACUCCAACAAUUCCCCAUUACACAUCCACUAGAGUAACAACACAAGAUCCUCAAGUCACAAACACAAUCAAAGGAAAGAUACAAUGGCAAAGUUCAUCCCAAAUCCAAAGGAAGUGGGGUCUUGAAGGUAGUCUUUUCCCAAUGGAGGUCUUGAAAUCCUCAAGGAUUCUUCCCUAUGGGGUCUUGAUCCUCAAAGAGGGAAGGUAAUGGAGCAAAGCUCAUCAAGAUCUCAUCUAAUACUUUGCUAACCCUAAACAUGGUCCUAGGUAUGGAAUAUAUAGCCUUGGGGUCGAGGGAGAAGAAGGGGAGCCGAAGAUGCAAUCUCAGCCGGCCAUCCUGGGAGGCUCGUGCGCACGGGAUAAGUUGGGCCCAUGCGCACAGGGGUCCCGUGGGCACGGUACAGGCCCGUGCGCACGGGGUGCUCCAGCGCCUGUUUCCUGUGUAGCCCGUGGGCACGGGGUCUUGGGGGCCCGUGCGCACGGGGUCACCUUGGACUUCCUGUGUUGCUGCUGUUGCACUCCGUCUUGAUUCGUACGGCCUUGGGGUGGUCCUCCUUCUUCUUGGGGAUGCUCCUGAGCUUCUUGGUGAUGUUCCACUUCAUACCUAAGGAGGCAUAGCAUAUUUUGGUGAGGUAGUAGACAUGUUCCAUUUGUGUGCAUAUGCAAGUCUAGUAGGAAGGAGUUCACCUCGGUUUCCAAAGCACGUGCUCUAGCUCUUGUCAUGGGUCCUCGUGGGGUUGGAUGUGUCGAUGUAGAGUCCAUGGGAUGAUGUAAGGAUGCUCCGCAUCACUUCCAGUUCAUCUUCACUCAUUGAGUCAUAGGUGCCAUCGUCGUUGAGGAUCAUGGUGCGCUUGUUGGUGCAUUGCAAGGACUUGUGGCCUCGGCCGCCACAUAUGAAGCACUUGAUUGAACUUGUCUUGACGGUCUCAUCGGUCGGAGUAGAGGAAGAAGCACGCGGCUUGUAGUUGCUUGCAGUGGGAGGAAGACGAGUUGAACUUGACGAAGGUUUCUUGUAGGUUGUCUUGUCAUCGUUGCUUGGAGAAGGCUUGGUUGAAGUAGAUGUUUGAGGAGUUGUUGAAGCUUGAUUGUUGGAGAAGCCAUAUGUCUUGGAUGAGUACUUGGAAUACUUGAAGUCAUCUUGCACUUGACGUUCUGCCUUGGUCGCUUGAUGCACGAGCUCGACGAGGUUGGAAUAGGGUUGGAAGUCGGCGAUCUUCUUGAUGGGAUGAUUGAGUCCAUUCAAGAAACGUGCCACUGUUUGUUCAUCAUCUUCCUUGACAUUGGCUCGAAUCAUGGCUAUCUCCAUUUCCUUGUAGUAUUCUUCAACACUCUUUGUUCCUUGCUUGAGGAGUUGUAGCUUCUUGAAGAGAUCACGGUUGUAGUAGGUGGGCACAAAUCGUGCUCGCAUGACAUCCUUCAUUUGAGCCCAAGUGGUGAUUGGAGGGUCACCUCUUGCUUCUCGGCGCUCAAGGACUUGUUCCCACCAUAUGAGCACAUAGUCUUGGAACUCAAGUAAUGCCAUUGCGAUCUUCUUCUCUUCCUCGUAGUUGUGCAAACGAAAGAUUUUGUCGACCUUCAAUGCCCAUGAGAGGUAUUCUUCCGAAUCAUUGCUUCCAUUGAACUUGGGCAUUGUGAAUUUGAGUUUUCCAUAGAGUUGCUCUUCAUCUCGAUAGCGGUUGCGAUAUCGCUCUUGCCUUGGAAAGUCCUCGAAUGCUCGUUCCUCACGAUGUCGCUCUUGGCAUGGAGGAGGGUCUUGAAGCACUUGUUCCACUUCGUGUCGCUCUUGGCGUGGAGGAAGUCCAUGAUGAACUUGCUCUUGUUGAACUUUAGGUUGAGGUGGAGCUUGACGAGCUUGUGGAGGAGCUUGAGGAUCUUGACGGUGCACACGUGGUUGGUAGUUCCUCUCUUGGAUUUCUUCUCGAAGGGCUUCCUCUUUAUUUUGCCGUUCGUGAUUGCGGUUGGCGAUGGCUCGACUUGAUUCUUGAAGGGCACGUUCCUCCUCAAGAGCUUGUGCUUCUCGUUGUUGUUGUUGAAGACGUUGAGCCUCGACGUCUUGUUCCUCUUGGUGUAGGCGCACUCGUUCUUCCUCUUGGUGUAGGCGUGCUCGUUCUUCCUCUUGGCAUCGUAGUCGUUGUCGUUCUUGAGCUUGAGCAAAAGCGACUUGGUUUGAUUGAGGACGAGGAACUUGCUCAUCGACUUGCUCUUGUGAAUGCUUGACGUGUACCGGGUUGUGAGAUGCAUGACGGUCUUGACGCGCGGCCACAAGGAGGAAGAAGGAGUGCAACAGGAUCAACACUGCACCUCCCAGGUGACCCCGUGCCCACGGGCCUCGAAGACCCCAUGCGCACGGACUACUCCAGAGAGUUGGCGCUGGAGCACCCCGUGCGCACGGGCUUGUACCGUGCCCACGGGACCCCCGUGCGCACGGGCCCAACUUACCCCGUGCACACGGGCCCUAUAGGAUGGACGGCUGUGAUUGCUGUUUGGGCCUCCUCUUCAUCCACUUCGUCCUCAUGCCUAUAUAUUCCAUACCUAGACCAUAUGUUAGGGGGAGGCAAAGUAGUUGAUAGACAUUUGUGAGCUUUGCUCCAUGGAUCCACUCCACUAGGAGAUCAAGACCUCCUCUUGGAGUGACCAAACAUCAAGAUCUCCUCCUUGGGGAAGGAUCCCAAUCAUAGGAUCAUCAAGCCCUCAUCUUCUUCAUAGGAUUUGGGAUGAACUCUACCAUGUAUCUUAUUUCCCUUUGAUUGUUCAUGUACCUUGUGGAUCUUAUGUGCUUGAUUGUCUAGUGGACGUGUGAUUUGACUUGUUCUUGAGUGUUCCUCUCGUUUUCCCUCUUUUGUUCAUCUUGUUCAUGUACCUUGUGGAUCCAAUUCGUGAAAGAUCUCCCCAUAGGGUUCCACCCUACAACAUCUUGGUAUCAUGAGCCAUGGUUUCUCAUGAAAUUGGAGCCCCCUCUUUGUUUUCUAGCCUUGUUUUGUGUGAUUUCGUCCUAAAUUCGAAAAUUCCCCACCAAAAAUAGCCCCAAAUUUUUUUGUGAUUUGUUGGUUUGAUGAGAUUUUGUUGGAUUUGAUCCAUGGAUUUGCUUGGUUUCAAGUGGAUCUAGCUUUCCUCCAUCUUUUCCCCUCCAUCCAUCCACAAAAUCUCUCCAAUUUUUCCCAAGAAAUCUCCUAUUUUCGCCACAAAAUGACGAAUUUUCCGCCCACCCCGUGCCCACGGGGCCCAGACCCCGUGCGCACGGGCCCCCGAAAAGUCUCUGGACACCCCGUGCCCUCGUACAUGUACCGUGCGCACGGGACCCCGUGCCCAUGGGCUUCUACCCCCGUGCGCACGACCCCCCCAGGUCAGCCGCGUGCACUUCACCGUUUUGCCCACAACUUCCACAUCCAGAGUACGAUUUUCACGUUCUUUAGCUCGUCCCCAUCCACCUAGAUAGGUUCCCACACCAUUUGACUCCACCAAAAUUUCGGCAUUUUGGCAAGAUUGCCUAGGCCCUCCACCAUAUCAUCCGCUACACCACCAUCGACUUUCGCAACCUAACCCAUCUUGAUCCCCUUAGCAUUAGUGGUUGCUUGAGUAGUGAUUUGAGUCUCCUAAGGUGUUUUGGAUACUUAGGGACGGUUGCUUCUUCACAAACCACCACCACCACUUCCACAUUGCCAUUUCCGCUACCACCAUUUGACAUUUGUCAUUUGAGAUUUUGAGUUUGCGGUUUUUACCGUUUCCUAAGGUGUUUCGGCUACUUAGGGACGGGUCUACAUCAUCUUGGUAUCUACAUCAAGAACACCACCACUCAUCAUCGCAAAGGACGGUAACCUUGACGACACCAUUGUAUAUUCCCCUUGCAAUUGCAUUGUUAACCCCUAGCCCAUUUUGCGUUACUUGCCUAUCGAGACUAGCCAUUUGAGUAUUGCCGGCAACGUUACUUGUGCACAUUAGUGAUCAUACUGCCCAUCGCAUACAUACCGUAUCAUCGUGGUGCAUAUAUUGGUAUCAUAUCUCGUGUCACAACUUUGUUCCCGCAUAUACUCAAUUGCUAUCUUGGUUUGUGCAUUGUGCAAAUUGUCCAUAGAAAAAAAAGAGAGAAUAAAGCUUUUAAGCAAAAGAAAGAGAGCAAACAAGCUUGUAAGCAAGUGCCAUAGCAUCAUACCCCAUUGCACAUAAGAUUGUCAUAUCCGAUCAUCUUGGAUCAUCUUGAGAGAAACACCGGGAACCAUACAUACAUAGAAUACUUGGGAUAGAAGUUUAUCCAUUUCGCAUCUUAUAGGUUGUGCACAAGUGUCGUAUCCUCCUAUUGAGCAAUCGUGCUAGCGUCUCUCUUGAGUUGUGCAACACGAGCGUUUUCCGUGGACUCCACAUUUUGUGCUCAUUCCUUGGUUGCACGACCCCAUUUAUCUAUUCGUGUGUGUAUUUUCGUGUACCACAUUUGCUAUUGGUCUACUUGUCCCACUUGCGAAUUUGAGAAUCUUUUCCAACAUUAUUGACUCUUGCUAACAUUUUGUAUCAAAUUUUUGUGCCACUAUCCUCACCGAGCUCUACCAUAAGCUUUACUUGAUAGGUGUGAGUGAACAAGUCCGGUACCAAUUCCACUCUUCUUUCAUUUCACAUUGAGUGAUACAAGAUACACCCUCAACUCUGGGAAAAGGUAGCUUGGUAUUGUUUAUCUCAUUUCCUACUUACCUUUGAUCGAGUCUUGUGAUGGAUAGGCAAGGCAUUUCCUCUUCGGUCUACUACAAAAACGACGGCAUGAACAACUACAUCACCAAAGCGUCCAUCUUAGAUCUACAAUGACAAAUGCAAGGCACACAAUCAAGAUUGCGAGAGCGCAUCGAGAACAUCUCCAUCGACAUUCGUCACUCCGAAUCAAGGAAAAGGGACUACAUCAACAAGAAGCUUUCCGCACAUAAAUAGGAGCAAGAUGCAAGGAUGGAGGAGAUUAGAACCUUGAUCAAGUCUUCUUCCCCUUCGUCAUCUUCAAGGCGGCGACAUUCAAGCCACAAGUCUUCGGAGCGCGGCCACGAUGCAAGUGCAAAUCGUCCUCGUCCACAUCUACAUGACGACCACCAUCACGGUCAUGAUCAACAUCAUCAUGAAGGGCAAGUCACAUCCAAGCAUCAUGUGCACGACGACGACGAACGACAUCUACUACAAGCUCAAGCACGACAGCGACAUCAUCAUCAUGAAGAUGCUCCACAAGCCCUACUUCACGCCAAGUCCAAGCUUCAAGAGCACAAAAGAAGACUGCGAGACGACCACGACCAAGACGGCGCUACGGUUACACCAACCACUUUAGCAUCUUCGCCAAGUGCUAUCAAGGCAUCUUCGCCUUUGGACAUACGGCAUCUUCGCCUACUUCCCACGAGUACGCCUACAAAGACUUCAUCAAGUCCAAGGCGAUGACCUACGAGCGAGGGCGACACUUCCAUCUUCGGAAGCCCCUCAAGGACGAUGGCCGAGCAUGGGAAACUCCCUUCGGUCAUGGAGACGAGCUACGAGGUGCCACAUCAUAUGGGCCUCCAACACCAAGACGGCGACAAGAAGGUCGAGCAAGGGCCAUCCCCUUAGACCACGGUGAUAGGAGUUGAGCAUGGAGACAUUUGCACCUACAUCUCUCCGACACCCACAUAUGUCGAGAUGCCCCAUUUGCCAUGUGAGGAGAGCCACCACCACAUGAGUGACAUGAGUGACUCCACCAAAUGUGACAUUGAGAGCAUUUCCUAUGAGAGGAUCAGUGUGACCACCACUAGCCCCACACAUGAGACCAUGCCACACAUCCUAUGUGAAGUUGAGCGCCAUUUGAGUGACUCCACCAACCAUAUGAGUGAGAGCAUCCUUGAGGGAGUUAGUGAGCCACCACACUUAGUGAGUGAGGUAGUUGGCAAGGCACGUGAGGCCACCAUGAUUUCUAACGACUUAACCUCUAGUCCUAGUGUGUUUUCUUCUUUGGUGCUAGGUCUCCUACAUGACGACAUGCCUAUCCUCGAUGACUCCAUCCCUCCAAUGGACAAAAUGAUGGCCAUGAUGGACGAUGAUGCACCCCCCACAUGGUUCCAUCAAGACGAAGAUGACAACGAGACGAUCUUCAAUACCUCACCUAUAACACAUGAGCGACGCUCCAAAGGUAACAUAGGUGAUGGUGCUUCUCUUGUCCCACUAGUGGACGCUCUUGACAAUGAUUGCUCCCAUGAUGUUGACCCACCUAUUACCAUGCUUCAUGCUAGUGAAACUUUGUCAUGCCUUGACUUACCUAUUUAUGAUGAAUAUGAUGAUGAGCAUGUUGAGUUGCCUAGUUGUGAUGCUAUGCUCCAUAGGAUAUCAUGUGAAAAUUCUAUUGGUCACAUCAUGUUUGACAAUCCAUUGAACUUGUCAUAUGCUAUGAGUGAGAUCUCCCAUAUUGCAUCAUUUCAAUCUCAACAUAGUAACUAUGCAUGCCCCAUUAAAAUAAAUCCCAUUUGCACUUAUGGCAUAGAUGACGAGAUGAUGGUCAUUGCCUUUUGUUUCUCUUGUGAUGAUAUUGCCAUGCUUCCUUUACAUGAUUUUCGCAAUUCAUCUACUAUGCCAUGCCAUGAUCACAUUGCACCACAUAUGCUUUGUUUUGGAUGUUGUCAAUAUUCUCCACGUGAUGUUGCUACUCAUGCUCAUGAGGAGACCCCCAUAGUUUCCUCAUACUUAUUCAGAGAUCUUGAUACAUUUCAUACUUUGCAUGAUUCCCAUGAUUGCGUGCACCAUAUCCACAACAUGAAUAACAAUGCUCUCGAUAUUUCUCAUGAUGCAUUACAUCCUUUGAGUCUCCAUUAUGUCAUACAUAAUAACUAUUCUUUCAUGAUGGAUGACAUGUUCAUAUACCAUGCCUCAAAUUUCUUUCAGGAUUGCUUAUCUUGUGCUAACUCACACGUGCACAUACACAUCAUGAUGGAUGAUGUGUACAUUUACCACACACACAAUUUCUUUCGUUUGUGUCUCCUUUGUGUAGGUACCCAUGAAUACUUGUCAAACUCGCAAUCCCACGAGUUGACAAAACAAGCUCUAGAGAGCAACGAUGAUUUGGGAUCCCAUGGAUUGUCUUUCCCACCGCUCUCUUCGCGCAAAGACUUAGCGCAUUUCUUCUACAUGGCCCUCACUUGGCUAUGGGUUGUUGUCCAUUACAUAUUAUAUGCCCAUCUUGCCAUGUUCACUUUGCAUGAUAUGCUUAUUCCUAUGCCUUUGCCAUGCAUUUGUGACCCAUGCUUUGCAUUACACAUGAUGAUUGAUUCUCAUACUUGUAUGUCUAUUUGCAAGCUUGGUGGAGAUAUUUCUAGUUAUUGCCAUAUUCCAUCUAUGACCCAUUCCUAUGAUGAUUCUAUGAUCUUGCUUUGUGUUCGUGGUUGCGAUAUGUCAUGUGCAUUGCCUAUAACCAGUAUUUGCUCACUUGACAUGAUUGCCAUGAUUUACUAUAGUGUGUUGCAUCUUCGCUCCACUAGUUUGCACGACUUGAUUGAUAGGCUUGCUUAUGUUGCAUCACCAAUGACUCAUACUUGCUCAUUUCAUGCGCUUGAUGACAACCAUCUACAUGCUUUGCACAUGAUUGUUAGUGCUUCUUGUCACAUAUCUCCAUAUGUUGCAUCUAUCAUGCUAGAUGACUUGCCAUGCAUUGAGUGCAACAAUGCUUAUAGUCUUGCUCAUAAGAUUGCCCCCAUAGCACUCUCACAUAUGUUUGGAGAUUUUGCCAUAUUCCUUGUGAAGCAUGCUUGUCUUACCUCUUUGCACCAUAUACCUAGUGCCUUGAAUAUCGCCAUUGUUGCAUCAUAUUAUUCAUGCACUUGUGCUUCUAAUGGUUAUGUGCAAGAGGAGAGAACCAUCAUGAUGGAUGAUGUGUUUAUCUACCAUGCGCAUACGCUCUUUGUUUUGUUGUGUGCAUGUGUAGGAUACUUGGACUUCGUGUCGACUUCCACUUCAUAUGAGUUGACCAUUCGAGCUCUUGAGAGCGAGCCUCAUACAUUCGACCAUGACUCGCUUCUACACCACAUUUCCUACCACUUCGACAUUGUGAAGAACGCACAAGGACAUGCUUUCGAGGUGAUAUCCUUCUAUCUCGAGAACACCCAAACCAUGAGCAAGCAUAUUGUGGAUCAUAAUUCAUGUGUUGCUUGCUCCAUGACACUUUGCACACAUGCUAGCGAUCUUGCUUCGACCUAUAAUUACCACAUUGCCAUGCCACAUGAUAUAUAUGCCUUGUGUGUUGCAUCUAGUUCUUCACAUAUGCCAUGUACCUUUGCUUAUCACAUGCUUGACUUGAUUGCCUCACACAUGUUGAACGAUUGCUCUUUCCAAUAUGUUGAGUGCCACGAUAUAUUCACUACAUCCUAUGCACGUUAUGCUUGGAUUGUCUUGCACUUGCCCCAUGUAUUUAGACAUUUCACUAUAUUUGGUGUUGUGAAUGACUCUUAUGCCUACCAUAGACCGUUCAUUGAGCACUAUAUGCAUGCUUGCUAUGACCUUGAGGUAGAUGCUUGUUCACUUAUCACAUAUAUUUGCAUCUUGACCUCCAAUUUGCAUGCUUGUUCCCAUGAGGUACUUGAUUGUGCUCAAUUUAUAUGCUCAAAUGCCAUGACACACUUCUUUGCCAAACCAUAUGCUAUGCUUGAUGACAACACUUGUUGGGUGAAUCACCUCUUGAAUGCUUGGUUUUGCUCUUACGAUAACCAAAUUUGUUUUUCCAAGUGCUUGUUAUCUUUGCUCCUUUUGAAGGAAUUACAAGACGGUGCGACAUUGGAGAGUGCCCAUUUGGAACUACAAGAUGACGAAUGCUUGGUGAUCGUCCACUUCUACACGACGCCAUCAUCUCUUCCCCAUGGUGAUUUGGAU